AGGGGUGUAGCUCCCAAUUGGCAGAGCAGCGGAUUCCAAAUCCGCGUGUUGGGAGUUCGAAUCUCUCCACCCCUGCCA
rnacentral:tRNA from 1 species